rnacentral:ncRNA from 1 species
AAAGUUCUUGGACAAGUGAAAAUAGACAAUUUCUAUUGGAAUAAUAUAGAAAUUGUCUAUUUUAUUAUUUUUUUAAGUAAUUUAGUAUGAAAUUGCAUAUAAAUACAUAGUAUUUAUGGCAAGACUCCUGAGGGAACAGUACUAGUUGAAGACCUUAGAAAUUCUCACAGAUUUAUCUGUGUAGUAUUUCUGGCUGAAACUGUACCCUUGGAAAGCGAAGCCAUACAAUACGAAGUAUUGGGUAUAAAGAAAGCACUAA